CCUACAUGGGACUGUCCCUUUAACCCAUUAUUCAUUGAACUGUCACAUUUCACAUAAGAAGGCAGAGUACACAAAAGCACUUCAGAAACUAUGGACACUGUAGCAUUAGGAAUGUUGGUUUUAAAUAGUUUUGAGGUGACAGUUGGCCUUUUAGGCCAGAGUAGCCAAACUGAAAGCAUCGCCAAUAGAGAAUGUUUCCAGUUCGGCUAUUUUGACCUUAAAGGACCACUAUCGGC